AAAAAGACAAACCCUGAUUUCCGUGUCCAACGUUUAACCGUCCAUCUUAUUUGAAAAAAUUAUAAAAAAAAUUAAAAAGAUAAGUCGCACAUAAAAUAUUAAUCAUAUUUUAUCAUCUAACAACAAUGAAAAUACGAAUUAUAAAAAAAAUUUAUAUAAGACAGACAGUCAAAGUUGGACACGAAAACUCAGGGUUUAUCUUUUU
rnacentral:pre_miRNA from 1 species